GACGAACGCUGGCGGCGUGCUUAACACAUGCAAGUCGAACGGAAAGGCCCUGCUUUUGUGGGGUGCUCGAGUGGCGAACGGGUGAGUAACACGUGAGUAACCUGCCCUUGACUUUGUGAUAACUUCAGGAAACUGGGGCUAAUACCGGAUAGGAGCUCCUGCUGCAUGGUGGGGGUUGGAAAGUUUCGGCGGUUGGGGAUGGACUCGCGGCUUAUCAGCUUGUUGGUGGGGUAGUGGCUUACCAAGGCUUUGACGGGUAGCCGGCCUGAGAGGGUGACCGGCCACAUUGGGACAGAGAUACGGCCCAGACUCCUACGGGAGGCAGCAGUGGGGAAUAUUGCACAAUGGGCGGAAGCCUGAUGCAGCAACGCCGCGUGCGGGAUGACGGCCUUCGGGUUGUAAACCGCUUUCGCCUGUGACGAAGCGUGAGUGACGGUAAUGGGUAAAGAAGCACCGGCUAACUACGUG
rnacentral:rRNA from 1 species